CUGCGAAUACCGGAGAAUGUUAUCACGGGAGACACACGGCGGGUGCUAACGUCCGUCGUGAAGAGGGAAACAACCCAGACCGCCAGCUAAGGUCCCAAAGUCAUGGUUAAGUGGGAAACGAUGUGGGAAGGCCCAGACAGCCAGGAUGUUGGCUUAGAAGCAGCCAUCAUUUAAAGAAAGCGUAAUAGCUCACUGGUCGAGUCGGCCUGCGCGGAAGAUGUAACGGGGCUAAACC
rnacentral:rRNA from 1 species